rnacentral:rRNA from 1 species
GACGGAGGAUGCAAGCGUUAUCCGGAAUUAUUGGGCGUAAAGCGUCCGCAGGUGGCUGUUCAAGUCUGCUGUCAAAGCGCAGAGCUUAACUCUGUACAGGCGGUGGAAACUGAAGAGCUAGAGUAUGGUAGGGGUAGAGGGAAUUCCCGGUGUAGCGGUGAAAUGCGUAGAUAUCGGGAAGAACACCGGUGGCGAAGGCGGCGUCCUGGACCAACACUGACACUGAUGAGCGAAAGCCAGGGGAGCAAACGGG